CUCUCCUAGCUAUUCGUAUAUGAGUUAGAUAUAAAUACCAUGGUCUCCAUUGUUCGGUGUCUUUGUCACUCCGUCCCACUAAUUCCGCCAAUUUUGCUUCCGCUGUGUGGAUCUCUUCUACUCUCCGUAACCAUUGCGCUGUGGUGGGGGGUUGGGUUUGUUUCCACAUAGCGGGGAUCAAUGAUUUAGCUGCGUUGAGAAGG